UACGAGGAGGCGAGCGUUGUCCGGAUUUACUGGGCGUAAAGCGCGCGCAGGCGGCAUGGCAAGUAAGGUGUGAAAUCUCCCUGCCUAACGGGGGAGGGUGCAUUUUAGACUGCCAAGCUAGAGGACGGUAGAGGGGGGGUAGAAUUGCUGGUGUAGCGGGUGAAAUGCGUAGAGAUCAGCAGGAAUACCCCGUGGCGAAGGCGGCCCCCCUGG
rnacentral:rRNA from 1 species